CCUCGAAAUGAGAAAUAACUAAAUGAGAAUGAGAGCAUGCAAUAAAAACGUCUCGUUACUGCAGGUAAAACAAACAGGUCCGUCUACAGUGUCUGUGUGCACUGAAGGCAGUUCAAUUAUCACACCUGAAAUUCACCUGGCAACCUCAAGGAUGGUAGAAGAUAUGUAAUUCAGCUUAUGAGAAAAAAAAAUCCCUCCAACCAAUUACCUGGCUACAGUGUGAGAGAUAUUUGAUUGCACCCAGAAAUCCUGUCUUUUGGAAUAUCUGGGACAAUCAGCGAUCAAGUUCUGAGUUGGCGUGCCUUUUCUCAUCAGCGAGCCAGAGUAUCUACAUCCAUUCAAAGUUAUGCAUGUGAACAAAAGUAGAGGUGAGAUGAGUAUUUACCUGUUAGAGUAUUUUGGCUUGAGUUCGCUCCCCUGAUGACCCCGUGAACUGUUGUCUAUACUGGUAGCACCACCAUACUUCUCACUGGAGGCACC